CUGGCAGAAUUUUGAAUCCAGUUGGUACUUCCUGUCUGAUGAUACUAAAACCUGGAAGGAGAGCAGAGAGGACUGUCUGGAGAGAGGAGCAGACCUGGUGAUCGUAAACAGUGAUAAGGAACAGGAGUUUCUCUUCAACCUCAACAAGGGAGUCUGGAUUGGUCUGACUGACUCUGUUACUGAGGGGAACUUGAUAUGGGUGGAUGGCACCCCACUGACCACCCCAAGGUACUGGCAUAAACCACAGCCUGAUAAUGGUGCUGGCAGACUAGACUAUGGUGAGGAGGACUGUGUUGAGAUACGUACAGAUCAGCGUCCUCUGGAGGCAUGGAAUGACUUGUCAUGUGACAGGAAAAUCUACUGGGUUUGUGAGAAAGCUGUUUAACAUCACCAUGACAACAUACUGUAACACAUACAGCAGCACACAGUGCACGAAACUUCCUCCUUCAUUCUCUCGCUAACUCUGUGUGUCUCUCUCUCUGUAGCUCUCUCUGUCUCUCUCUCUCUCACUUUCUCUCACAGACAUUCUCUCUCUGUCUCAAACCCACACACACAACCUCCCACACACAUGCACACACACUGCGUGCACACAUGCAUGCAAACGCAUCUAUUGUUGUGUUUAUUUGUAGUGUUAUAUUAA